AAGACAGCACUUUAUACUUUUAGGGAUGAUUUCUAUAAUUCAUGAGUGGAGAGGUUUCUCUAGAGGUGUAGGGGACUGGAAACCACAUCCAGGAAGUACAGCUUUCUCUCCUGAGCAUGAAGGUAUCUUGGCAUUUCUUCACUGCAAUUGCCAUUUGCCUUUUUUGUUUUUCCUUUUGAGAUAGGGUGUCACCUGUUGCCCAGGCUGGAGGGCAGUGG
rnacentral:snoRNA from 10 species